GUUUGGCGAGAUAACUCAGUCGGUGGAGCAUGAGAUUCUUCAUCUCAGGGCUGCGGGUUCGAGCCCCGUGUCAGGCA